rnacentral:tRNA from 1 species
GCCUUUGUGGUGUAGUGGUAAGCACACUCAACGCGUAACUGAGAAGUCCAUGGUUCGAUUCCCGAUGAAGGCA